GAGCCAUUAGCUCAGCAGGUAGAGCACAUGACUUUUAAUCAUGGGGUCCGGGGUUCGAACCCCCGAUGGCUCACCA
rnacentral:tRNA from 1 species